CACGGGUGCGUAACGCGUAUGCAACCUACCUUUAACUGAGGGAUAGCCCAGAGAAAUUUGGAUUAAUACCUCAUAGAACCUUUAGACUACCUAGUAUAAUGAUUAAAGCCACCAGGCGGUUAAAGAUGGGCAUGCGUAACAUUAGCUAGUUGGUGAGGUAACUGCUCACCAAGGCUACGAUGUUUAGGGGGCCUGAGAGGGUGACCCCCCACACUGGUACUGAGACACGGACCAGACUCCUACGGGAGGCAGCAGUGAGGAAUAUUGGUCAAUGGACGCAAGUCUGAACCAGCCAUGCCGCGUGCAGGACGACGGCCCUAUGGGUUGUAAACUGCUUUUAUAUACCAAGAAACCCUGGGACGUGUCCCAGGCUGACGGUACCAAAUGAAUAAGGAUCGGCUAACUCCGUGCCAGCAGCCGCGGUAAUACGGAGGAUCCAAGCGUUAUCCGGAUUUAUUGGGUUUAAAGGGUGCGCAGGCGGGCUUGUAAGUCAGUGGUGAAAUUUUGCGGCUUAACCGUAGAACUGCCAUUGAUACUGUAGGGCUAGAGUACAGACGAGGUAGGCGGAAUGUAUCAUGUAGCGGUGAAAUGCUUAGAUAUGAUACAGAACACCGAUCGCGAAGGCAGCUUACUAGACUAUUACUGACGCUAAUGCACGAAAGCGUGGGGAGCGAACAGGAUUAGAUACCCUGGUAGUCCACGCCGUAAACUAUGAUUACUCGAUGUUGGCGAUACACAGUCAGUGUCUAAGGGAAACCGAUAAGUAAUCCACCUGGGGAGUACGAUCGCAAGGUUGAAACUCAAAGGAAUUGACGGGGGCCCGCACAAGCGGAGGAGCAUGUGGUUUAAUUCGAUGAUACGCGAGGAACCUUACCUAGACUUAAAUGUAGAUUGCAUAGAGUAGAAAUAUUCUUUUCCUUCGGGACUAUUUACAAGGUGCUGCAUGGUUGUCGUCAGCUCGUGCCGUGAGGUGUCGGGUUAAGUCCCAUAACGAGCGCAACCCCUAUUCUUAGUUGCCAGCGGGUCAUGCCGGGGACUCUAGGAAAACUGCCAGCGUAAGCUGUGAGGAAGGUGGGGAUGACGUCAAAUCAGCACGGCCCUUACGUCUAGGGCUACACACGUGCUACAAUGGCCGGUACAGAGGGCAGCUACCACGUGAGUGGAUGCGAAUCUCCAAAGCCGGUCUCAGUUCGGAUCGAAGUCUGCAACUCGACUUCGUGAAGUUGGAUUCGCUAGUAAUCGUAUAUCAGCAAUGAUACGGUGAAUACGUUCCCGGGCCUUGUACACACCGCCCGUCAA
rnacentral:rRNA from 1 species